rnacentral:rRNA from 1 species
AUUGAACGCUGGCGGCAGGCCUAACACAUGCAAGUCGAACGAGUGGCGGACGGGUGAGUAAUGUCUGGGAAACUGCCUGAUGGAGGGGGAUAACUACUGGAAACGGUAGCUAAUACCGCAUACCAUCGGAUUUGCCCAGAUGGGAUUAGCUAGUAGGUGGGGUAAAGGCUCACCUAGGCAACGAUCCCUAGCUGGUCUGAGAGGAUGACCAGCCACACGGGAACGGAGAAACGGUCAAGACUCCUACGGGAGGCAGCAGUGGGGAAUAUUGCACAAUGGGCGCAAGCCUGAUGCAGCCAUGCCGCGUGUGUGAAGAAGGCCUUCGGGUUGUAAAGUACUUUCAGCGGGGAGGCGUUACCCGCAGAAGAAGCACCGGCUAACUCCGUGCCAGCAGCCGCGGUAAUAC